AAGAAAUGUCAUCUGCUUUCUAAUUUAAUUCCCUUUUUUCUACUCUUUAUUAUUUUUCCUUAUUAUAGAAGAAAUGGUUUUCCAUUAAUACAAAAUUCAGACAUCAUCAAAACUAUAAUAAACAUUUGCUGUGAUCCUACCUGCUAAAGAUAACCAUCAUUAAGUUCAAUGCAUAGUCUUCCUUUUUCAUAUUUAUACAUAUGCUAACAUAUAUUAGAAUUAUUCAUUUACUUUUACAAGAAGAAGGUCAGGCUGGGGACAUGGAGGGCUCCUACCUGCGUAAGCAGAGGUCUUGCACCUGCAUAAGCAGGGCCAUGAUCAUGCCUGUAAUCCCAGUGCUUUGAGAGGCCACGGCAGGGAGUCUCUUGAGUCCAGGAGUUCUAGACCAGCCUGCACAACAGGGUGAAACCCCAUGUCUACAAAAAAUUUAAACUUAGCUGAGUGUAAUGGUAUGUGCCUGUGGUCCUAGCUACUUAGGAGGCUGAGGCAGGGGGACACCUUGGGCAUAGGAGGUCAAGGCUACAGUGAGCCAUGAUCAUGCUACUGCACUCCAGCCUGGGUGACAGAGCAAGACCAUGUCAAAAAAAAAAAAAGUCACAAAUAAUGUUGCAAUUUUUCUACCACUUUAAAAAUCCUUUGAAACAUUUCUUGUGUUGGUAUAUGUAGAUCUUAUCUGACUGUAUUCUUGUAAAUAGAUAUAUAACAUAACAUUGGGUGCACCACAAACUAUUUAUUUAUUUAUCUGGUGGAAAUCUUAUUCCUCCCCCUCAUGUUGCAUGAGGGAACUUACAUUCCCAGGGUAUAACACUAUUAGUGAUUCCAGACUUCAUUCUCUCCCCUAGGUGGGAAUAAUUUAUCUUACUGUUGAAACUAGGAGAAGAAACCAGGCAUAAGUGGCCCUGCCCUCUUUGAGCUUUUAGUCCCAGUGGCUGGCCGUCAAAGAUGCCAGGAGUACAGCGACUGGGGGACCUCUGCUUCUGCAGGUGGGAGACUGAAUCCUGGGUGGGCGUGUUAGUCUGUUCUCACGCUGCUAUAAAGAACUGCCUGAGACUGGGUAACUUAUGAAAGAAAGAGGUUUAAUUGACUCACAGUUCCACAUGGUUGGGGAGGCCUCAGGAAACUUACAAUCAUGGCAGAAGGGGAAGCAAACACAUCCCUCUUCACAUGAUGGCAGGACGAAGAAGUGCCAAGCAAAGGGGAAAAAGGCCCUUAUAAAACCAUCAGAUCUCAUGAGAUCUCAUUCACUAUCACAGAACAGCAAGGGAGUAACUGCUCCCAUGAUUCAAUUACCUCCCACUGGAUCCCUCCCAUGACACAUGGGGAUUACAGGAACUACAAUUCAAGAUGAGAUUUGGGGACACAGCCAAAUAUCAGUGGGCCAUCUUGGAGAGUGGAGGAAGGAAAUAGAAAGCUCACCUGUGGCCUCAUAUUUUGCUUACAUUCUCCAGUGAAGUUUAGUGUGGAUUUUGAAUUUCAUCUGUCCUAAGCUUAUGGCUUUUCAAAAAAAAAAAAAA
rnacentral:lncRNA from 1 species